AAGGAUCAUUACCGAGUACCGGGUCCUCUGGGCCCUUACUCCCACCCUUUGUGUAUCUUACCUUUAUUUCUUGUUGCCUUGGCGGGUCUAGGGGGAGACCCCGGGGGCCUCACGGCCCCGCCCGCCAGGGGGACAGCCCUUAAACUCUUUGUUAACCGGGUCGUCUGAGAAAACAAACAAAUGAAUUAAAACUUUCAACAACGGAUCUCUUGGUUCUGGCAUCGAUGAAGAACGCAGCGAAAUGCGAUAAGUAAUGUGAAUUGCAGAAUUCAGUGAAUCAUCGAAUCUUUGAACGCACAUUGCGCCCCUUGGUAUUCCGAGGGGCAUGCCUGUUCGAGCGUCAUUUCAAACCCUCAAGCUUCUGCUUGGUGUUGGGUCCUCGUCCCUAACAGGACGUACCCGAAACUCGUAGGCGGUGGCGCCCAGCUCCUCAGCGUAGUUAUACAUUCCGCUCCGGAUCGUUGGGUGUUGCCCGCCGAACAACCACACUUUUUUC
rnacentral:misc_RNA from 1 species